rnacentral:sRNA from 1 species
AAAAAAGGAAGUUCGGCUAAGAGCGUCACGUCCUGUGACAACGCCGAACUGACUCCCAUCCUGGGAG